rnacentral:rRNA from 1 species
AGUGAACGCUGGCGGUAGGCCUAACACAUGCAAGUCGAACGGCAGCACAGUAAGAGCUUGCUCUUACGGGUGGCGAGUGGCGGACGGGUGAAGAAUACAUCGGAAUCUACUUUUUCGUGGGGGAUAACGUAGGGAAACUUACGCUAAUACCGCAUACGACCUACGGGUGAAAGCAGGGGAUCUUCGGACCUUGCGCGAUUGAAUGAGCCGAUGUCGGAUUAGCUAGUUGGCGGGGUAAAGGCCCACCAAGGCGACGAUCCGUAGCUGGUCUGAGAGGAUGAUCAGCCACACUGGAACUGAGACACGGUCCAGACUCCUACGGGAGGCAGCAGUGGGGAAUAUUGGACAAUGGGCGCAAGCCUGAUCCAGCCAUACCGCGUGGGUGAAGAAGGCCUUCGGGUUGUAAAGCCCUUUUGUUGGGAAUGAAAAGCAGCAGGUUAAUACCCCGCUGUUCUGACGGUACCCAAAGAAUAAGCACCGGCUAACUUCGUG